UCGAGACCGAAAUAUACACCGAGCGAUUCGGAGAACACGUGAAAUGAGCCAACGGCCGUCUUGGCCGUCGCCCCCGUCCCCUCCUCGUGGGGUGGGUGGGGGCGCGGCGGAGGACGGAUGAAAAACACAAACCGGCGCAGCAUCNCGCCAAGGGAAAGAUUGAAAGGCACGAGCCCCGCGUCGGGCUCGGNGGCAUAUGGGGUGUUGUUGCACGCCAUGCGGAUG
rnacentral:rRNA from 1 species